UACUAGACAGUGCGUCAUGCCACUCUGUA
rnacentral:piRNA from 1 species